rnacentral:rRNA from 1 species
GAUGAACGCUGGCGGCGUGCCUAAUACAUGCAAGUCGAGCGAACAGAUAAGGAGCUUGCUCCUUUGACGUUAGCGGCGGACGGGUGAGUAACACGUGGGUAACCUACCUAUAAGACUGGGAUAACUUCGGGAAACCGGAGCUAAUACCGGAUAACAUUUGGAACCGCAUGGUUCUAAAGUGAAAGAUGGUUUUGCUAUCACUUAUAGAUGGACCCGCGCCGUAUUAGCUAGUUGGUAAGGUAACGGCUUACCAAGGCAACGAUACGUAGCCGACCUGAGAGGGUGAUGGGCCACACUGGAACUGAGACACGGUCCAGACUCCUACGGGAGGCAGCAGUAGGGAAUCUUCCGCAAUGGGCGAAAGCCUGACGGAGCAACGCCGCGUGAGUGAUGAAGGGUUUCGGCUCGUAAAACUCUGUUAUUAGGGAAGAACAAAUGUGUAAGUAACUGUGCACGUCUUGACGGUACCUAAUCAGAAAGCCACGGCUAACUACGUG